rnacentral:misc_RNA from 1 species
UGCUCCUAGUACGUAAGGACCGGAGUG